UAUUCACAUCAUAAACCCGCCACC
rnacentral:miRNA from 1 species